AGACAGUGAUCCACGCCUUUGUUAGCACUCGGCUGGAUUACUGUAAUGCACUUUAUAUUGGGGUCAGCGCAUCAUAUAUUACUCAUCUACAGAGGGUGCAAAAUGCUGCAGCUCAUCUUUUAACUGGCACUCGAAAGUUUGAGCACAUUUCCCCUAUUUUAGCUUCACGUCACUGGCUGCCCAUUUCUAUUAGGAUUUAUUUUAAAAUUCUUUUAUUUGCUUUUAAAGCUCUCCAUGGCCUAGCCCCAUCUUAUCUCUCUGAGCUGCCACAGCCUUAUACACGCACCCGCUCUCUCAGGUCAGCUGAUCAGCUGCUCCUGAAUGUACCAGGACUGGGCGUAAACUUAGAGGAGAUCGUGCUUUUGCUGUAGCAGCUCCAAAACUGUGGAACGAGCUCCCUUUAGAGAUUAGACAGGCCAGUUCUUUACCUGUUUUUAAGUCACUCUUGAAAACCCACCUCUUUACCCUGGCCUUUGACACCACGUGAGAUGUUGGUUUUUAUUUUUAUUUUAUUUUUUAUUUUAGUCGUUUUUAGUUGAUUCGAUGCUGUUUUAUCUUGUUUUUGUUUUUGUUUUAAUAUAGGGCUGUUUUAAUUUUAUGCAUUAUGUUUUUAUUUAUUUUUGCUGUUUUCUGUUAUUCUAUUGUUUUUAACUUAUUUUCUGUACAGCACUUUGUUCCUGUGCUGGGUAUUUGAAAGUGCCUUAUAAAUAAAAUUGGAUUAGAUUGGUGAGGACUUGAUUUAGAGAGCUAUCGUAUGCUUUCAGGAAAUGAUUGCAAGUCAGUGUAAAGUCCUUUAAAGUGAUGCAAACUAUGACUUUGUGCUUGUUUGUCUCCAUGUUUGUUUUGGACACAUUUCAGGAAAAAUCUCACAGCGAGGACACUUCUGCAGCUCUACAACUUUUUGGUUGCUCCUCUUCACACCUUCAUGUCACCACUAGAACAGGGCCCCAAUCUGUUUUUGAGCUCCCAGCUCAGCAGCAUCAUCUUGUGUUCACCACAGGUUAAACAGC
ensembl:lncRNA